CCGGGCUUGAAAGUUAGUGAAUGAUUUUAGAGAUAGGUCAGUGAGCAAUCNCACGAAACUAGGUGCUGCAUGGCUGUCGUCAGCUCGGCCGUGAGGUGUGGGUUAAGUCCCGCAACGAGCGCAACCCUUAUGUUUAGUUGCCAGCACGUAAAGGUGGGGACUUUUAAACAGACUGCCUGUGCAAACAGAGAGGAAGGAGGGGACGACGUCAAGUCAUCAUGGCCCUUACGUCCGGGGCUACACACGUGCUACAAUGGAUGGUACAGAGGGCAGCAAGCUGGCAACAGCAAGCGAAUCUCAAAAAGCCAUUCACAGUUCGGAUAGAGGUCUGCAACUCGACCUCUUGAAGUUGGAUUCGCUAGUAAUCGCGUAUCAGCAAUGACGCGGUGAAUACGUUCCCGGGCCUUGUACACGCCGCCCGUCAAGCCAUGGAAGUUGGGGGUACCUAAAGUAUGUAACCGCAAGGAGCGUCCUAGGGUAAAACCGAUAACUGGGGCU
rnacentral:rRNA from 1 species